rnacentral:lncRNA from 1 species
CGAGCAGCCUCGCAACAUGUACUACUUCUAUUUGAGCAUCAUUUCACAUUGAGCACCGCCUUAUAUCAAGUAUUCAGUUCUAGACGACAUCUAGUUACUUCGGCUUACACAUGGACUGAAUUUCAAGUCUCCAGCCAAAAAACUCUCUUGACUGAAGACUUGGGGGACUAAUGUUUGUACCAUACUUAUGGCCUCCGUAUUUAGACCUCGUAUAAAUACUCGGGGGACUCAAAUGCAAUUAUGUAAUAAAUGAAAGGGCAAAUAUGUAAUAAGUGAGGAGCUCUUAUUUUAUAAAAGGACCCAUCACUCUCCUCAUUGAGGGAGGCCAAUUCUUAGGCAAUGGGAAGAGCUCUCUCACCCUCAGACUCUCUCACCCUCUCAUCCUCUAAAAAACAGAGAAAUACAAUAUUAGUGUGGACGUAGCCCAAACAUUGGGGUGAACCACGAUACAUCUUUUGUUAUUUACUUUCUUGCAAAUUCACGGUCGGAUUUACAUUGUUCUAAGACCUCCAGUUUUUUGCAACAACAAUGGUUAAUUAUAAAACAACGAUUUGAGAUUUAAAUCUCAACCAAUCGAUCCACAUAAUUUUAAAAUUAAAUACAUAUAAUAUAUAUGUGUGAGACCAAAGUAAUCCAUUUGGUAAAGAGAGCAAGGUCUAAAAUAUCGAUGAUAUCAGAAAUAUCGGUAGUCCAAAAACACGGAAAUUUCGAUGGAAAUAUUGGGAUAUUAUCGAUAUCGAUAAAAAAUGAACAAAAACCACGGAAAUUGUAAGAAAAACUUGGAAAUUUUUAUUGAAACUUUGCAGGAUGUUUAUUUAAUCAAUUAUCUAUUAGUUUAUCACAAAAAAUUGGAAGGAAAUGCAUUCAUGAUGGAUUUAACUGAUUUAAGUUGAUUAUAUAGCGAGCUGACAAACAUUGUGAGUGUAGAAAAUAUAGUAAUUAAUGAAAGAAGUUUAAGCACACCAUAAUCAUUUAUAUAUAAGGAAUUAGUACAAUAUUUUACACUUUAUAUAUUGCAUGGUAAGAUACAUGAGUGAAUUAAUACCAUAUAGAGUUCCUAUGAGGAUCAAAAUUUUCACUACCUACUAGCCCCAAUAGUUUCUAGAUUAUGUUCCAGAAAAAUAGUUUCUAUAACCUAAAGCAUUGUUAAGUAAAAUGUAAUCAGAAGAGUACUUAAAAAUGCUUUUGAUUGUUAACCAUUUGAUUAGCAAAUUCCAAACAAGAGAAUGAUUUAUAUGGAAUGAGUUAACUGCCAAAUGAAAUUUCGAUCUAAUAU